GACGAACGCUGGCGGCGUGCCUAAUACAUGCAAGUCGAACGAACUCUGGUAUUGAUUGGUGCUUGCAUCAUGAUUUACAUUUGAGUGAGUGGCGAACUGGUGAGUAACACGUGGGAAACCUGCCCAGAAGCGGGGGAUAACACCUGGAAACAGAUGCUAAUACCGCAUAACAACUUGGACCCACAGUCGGUCCGAGUCUUAGAAAGAGUGGCUUCGGCUAU
rnacentral:rRNA from 1 species